GAUGAAGAACGCAGCGAAAUGCGAUAAGUAAUGUGAAUUGCAGAAUUCAGUGAAUAAUCGAAUCUUUGAACGCACAUUGCGCCCGCCAGUAUUCUGGCGGGCAUGCCUGUUCGAGCGUCAUUACAACCCUCAGGCCCCCGGGCCUGGCGUUGGGGAUCGGCGGAGCCCCCCGUGGGCACACGCCGUCCCCCAAAUACAGUGGCGGUCCCGCCGCAGCUUCCAUCGCGUAGUAGCUAACACCUCGCGACUGGAGAGCGGCGCGGCCACGCCGUAAAACACCCAACUCUUCUGAAGUUGACCUCGAAUCAGGUGGGAAUACCCGCUGAACUUAAGCAUAUCAAUAAGCGGAGGA
rnacentral:misc_RNA from 1 species